rnacentral:rRNA from 1 species
GAUUAAGCCAUGCAUGUGUAAGUGUAAAUAUUUAUGUUUGGAACUUGCGAAUGGCUCAUUUAUAUCAGUUAUAGUUUAUUUGGUGAAGUGUACUACUUGGAUAACCGUAGUAAUUCUAGGGCUAAUACAUGAGAAAGUCCUCUGGUGAGGUGUGUUUAUUAGAAUGAAAACCAUAUGCUUCGGCAUGAUAGUGAGUAAUAGUAACCUAUCCUAUCGCAUGCUUAAUGUAGCGAUGAGUCUUUCUUGUUUCUGCCCUAUCUGCUUUCGAUGGUAGUAUAUGGGCCUACCAUG